GUGGUUGGCUGCUUGCGAACAGUCCCCCAGGAAGCAGAGACUAUCGUCAAGGAGACCAUCCAUGGUUUUAAUGCUUCUCAUUUGCCUCCUCCAAAAGAGGGCGUCAUUCGCAUGGAAGCCAACGGUGGAUUCAUCCUCCAGAAGAUUAGCGACGAGAAAUGCUACAUAAGAGCAGUAAUACACCUGGACCUUAAGCUCGACCUUGUUCCGACAUGGGUGAUUAACUUCCUUGGGCGUCAAGUUGUGGGACACGGCUUCAGAC